UACGUAGGGUCCAAGCGUUAAUCGGAAUUACUGGGCGUAAAGCGUGCGCAGGUGGUUUGUUAAGAGUGAUGUGAAAUCCCCGGGCUCAACCUGGGAACUGCAUUGCUAACUGGCGAACUCGAGUACGGGAGAGGGGGGUGGAAUUCCACGUGUAGCAGUGAAAUGCGUAGAGAUGUGGAGGAACACCGAUGGCGAAGGCAGCCCCCUGGCCUGCUACUGACACUCAUGCACGAAAGCGUGGGGAGCAAACAGG
rnacentral:rRNA from 1 species